rnacentral:tRNA from 4 species
AAAUAUGAAGCAAUAUUAUGCAUUUAAUUUCGGCUUAAAAGAAAGAGUAAUAACUCCAUAUUUU